GAAAAAAGAGACGACAAAGAGUGAAAAGUUUUAGUUUAAAACUACCAAGAUAAUGCCAAACAGCAUCCGUGUAAGACUUGAUUCGUGUUCCGUCAUCGGAACGAUAACAAUCUGGAAGAAAGAAGGAUGAAAGAUAAGAGAUAAUAGCAAAAAUAAGCAACG